rnacentral:rRNA from 1 species
AGAGUUUGAUCAUGGCUCAGAUUGAACGCUGGCGGUAGGUUUUAUCCAUGCAAGUCGAGCGGUAACAGACAUUUUGAUUCAGCUUGCUGAAUCUAGUGCUGACGAGCGGCGAACUGGUGAGUAACGCGUAGGAAUCUGCCCAGUAGCGGGGGAUAGCCCGAGGAAACUCGGAUUAAUACCGCAUACGCCCUAAGGGGGAAAGGGGGCAUCUUUGAUGCUCUUACUAUUGGAGGAGCCUGCGUAAGAUUAGCUUGUUGGUAGGGUAAAGGCCUACCAAGGCGACGAUCUUUAGCUGGUCUGAGAGGACGAUCAGCCACAUUGGGACUGAGACACGGCCCAGACGUCUACGGACGGCAGCAGGAGAGAAUAUUGGACAAUGAGGGAAACCUUGAUCCAGCCAUACCGCGUGUGUGAAGAAGGCCUUAGGGUUGUAAAGCACUUUAAGCGAUGAAGAAGAAAAGUAAGUUAAUACCUUAUUUUUUUGACGUUACUCGCAGAAUAAGUACCGGCUAACUCCGUGCCAGCAGCCGCGGUAAUACGGAGGGUACAAGCGUUAAUCGGAAUUACUGGGCGUAAAGCGCGCGUAGGCGGUUAAGUAAGUUGGAUGUGAAAGCCCUGGGCUCAACCUAGGAACUGCAUUCAAAACUAUUUAACUAGAGUACGAGAGAGGAGAGUAGAAUUUCUGGUGUAGCGGUGAAAUGCGUAGAUAUCAGAAGGAAUACCAAUGGCGAAGGCAGCUCUCUGGAUCGUCACUGACGCUAAGGUGCGAAAGCGUGGGUAGCAAACAGGAUUAGAUACCCUGGUAGUCCACGCCGUAAACGAUGAGAACUAGCCGUUGGGGAGAAUUAACUCUUCAGUGGCGCAGCUAACGCAUUAAGUUCUCCGCCUGGGGACUACGGCCGCAAGGCUAAAACUCAAAUGAAUUGACGGGGGCCCGCACAAGCGGUGGAUCAUGUGGUUUAAUUCGAUGCAACGCGAAGAACCUUACCUACCCUUGAAAUCCAGCGAAGUUCCUAGAGAUAGGAAUGUGCCUUCGGGAACGCUGUGACAGGUGUUGCAUGGCUGUCGUCAGCUCGUGUCGUGAGAUGUAUGGUUAAGUCCAGUAACGAGCGCAACCCCUAUCCUUAUUUGCC